rnacentral:rRNA from 1 species
ACGGGGUGCAGCAGGCGCGAAAACUUCACAAUGUGCGAAAGCACGAUGAGGGGAUCCCAAGUGCUGGUUCGAAAGAGUCAGCUGUUUCUUUGUCUAAAAAACAGAGAGAGUAAGAGCUGGGUAAGACGGGUGCCAGCCGCCGCGGUAAUACCUGCAGCUCGAGUGGUGAUCGUUAUUAUUGGGCCUAAAACGUCCGUAGCCGGUCUUGUAAAUGCCUGGGUAAAUCGUAUGGCUUAACCAUACGAAUUCCGGGUAGACUGUUAGACUUGAGACCGGGAGAAGCUAGAGGUGCUCCUGGGGUAGAGGUGAAAUUCUGUAAUCCUAGGGGGACCACCAGUGGCGAAGGCGUCUAGCUAGAACGGGUCUGACGGUGAGGGACGAAGCCCUGGGGCGCAAACGGGAUUAGAUACCCCGGUAGUCCAGGGUGUAAACGCUGCUUGCUUGAUGUUAGUCUGGCUCCGAGCCAGAUUAGUGUCGGAGAGAAGUUGUUAAGCAAGCUGCCUGGGAAGUACGGCCGCAAGACUGAAACUUAAAGGAAUUGGCGGGGGAGCAC